rnacentral:rRNA from 1 species
AUACGUAGGGGGCGAGCGUUAUCCGGAAUUAUUGGGCGUAAAGAGGGAGCAGGCGGCAGCAAGGGUCUGUGGUGAAAGCCUGAAGCUUAACUUCAGUAAGCCAUAGAAACCAGGCAGCUAGAGUGCAGGAGAGGAUCGUGGAAUUCCAUGUGUAGCGGUGAAAUGCGUAGAUAUAUGGAGGAACACCAGUGGCGAAGGCGAGGAUCGGGCCUGCAACUGACGGUCAGUCCCGAAAGCGUGGGGAGCAAAUAGGAUUAGAUGCCCUAGUAGUCCACGCCGUAAACGAUGAGUACUAAGUGUUGGAUGUCAAAGUUCAGUGCUGCAGUUAACGCAAUAAGUACUCCGCCUGAGUAGUACGUUCGCAAGAAUGAAACUCAAAGGAAUUGACGGGG